AAUCAACGCUGGCGGCGUGCCUCAGACAUGCAAGUCGAACGGUUAAAGCUCUCUUCGGAGAGUGCAUAGAGUGGCGCACGGGUGAGUAACACGUAAGUAAUCUACCUUCGAGUGGGGAAUAACACCGAGAAAUCGGUGCUAAUACCGCAUAAUGCAGCGGCAUCGCAAGAUGACAGUUGUUAAAGAUUUAUCGCUUGAAGAGGAGCUUGCGGCAGAUUAGCUAGUUGGUAAGGUAAUGGCUUACCAAGGCUACGAUCUGUAACCGGUCUAAGAGGACGGUCGGUCACACUGACACUGAAUAACGGGUCAGACUCCUACGGGAGGCAGCAGUCGGGAAUUUUGGGCAAUGGGCGAAAGCCUGACCCAGCAACGCCGCGUGAAGGAUGAAGUAUUUCGGUAUGUAAACUUCGAAAGAAUAGGAAGAAUAAAUAGACGGUACUAUUUAUAAGGUCCGGCUAACUACGUGCC
rnacentral:rRNA from 1 species